ACGAAGAGCAAAUUAAAAUAAAGAAAUACGUUAACAUUUAGUUUCGAAUUUAUCUUCAUACGUAUUACACAAACCGCUAAGGACCGAAAUACAGACUCCUGUCUUAAAGGGUUGCAUCCUGUUGUGUGGGUAUCAAAACACAAAAUGGAAAACAUACCUACAAUGUGUAACUAAUGUGUAAUCACUGAAGUUUUAAAACGUGAUAUAACAAGGUUAUCAAUAGGUGAGAUCAAAGAGCAACAAAUAUAUAAAAAAUAAAAAGUAAAGUAAAGAUAUUAUGGCUAGUAUAUCAUUCAAGGCAAUGGAUAGAAUUAGGCAGUAGAUGGGUAUUUUCUGUUUACGAAAUGGCCAGCCUGAUAUGUAGCCAUUGAAGACAUUAGUUGUGAAGGGAGAGUUUGUGAAGUAGCAAACAUUCAGGAAAUAUUAUAAAGUAAAGUUGUCUGGGAUGUGAAUUCUGCCCUAGUGUUUACUGGAAUGUGUACUGGAAACAAUACUGGGCGGGGCACGCCGACCAUUCGUGGCUCAUCGCCAAGUACAACGGUAUUUUGCAAGGAAGUCUGCGGUCGUUUUCUGCUUCUAGGGACGAAGAGGACAGUAAGCAUCCGGUACACGAAAUCUAAUGAACCACAUCUGAUGUGGAACACUGCCAACAGAGACAAGUACCGUACUGACAAGGAUUUUUUCAACCCAGAAUCUCUGCGUCUUACGUAGAAACUUGAAGUAAGUGUAUCUCAAAAUGGUGACGUUUCCAGACCAACGUGUAUUUGCAUCUUUGCUUCUGUGUUAUCAUACAACGUUCGUUGUGUGUUCGAAAUAUAGGUCCUAAUGAUGGAGGCAGCAUUUACCUCUGAAACAUCUGUAAACGUCUACCAGACUACAAGACGCAACAACCCAGAAGACAGAA